GUUCCUUGUGAUUGAUCCUCGUGGAGUUUUUGUGAGCCUACGAUGCUGUACUGCAGCAAAUCUGCAAACAUCUGCAGACUGCUGCUGUGUUGCAAAGCAAUGCUGUGAACUGCAAACAUGCUGACUGGAUUUCUAGAAGGUUCCAGAGAUGUGCAUGGCAGAGAGAACCCUCUAGCAGAAGCACAGCAUGGUGGCUCUUCCUACUUCCUCCCCCAUCUUCCUCUCAGACACUGCAAAACCUGUCCCUGCACUCUGCAAGAACUUUGUGCCCACUGGAAGGCUCCGUCCCAAAGGCCAGGAUCCCUGUUGUCAGUUGGCAUGGGUGGCAGCUGCUUGCAUGACAGCACUUCUGUACAGCCAAGAUCGCUGUUCUGUGUCCAGGAUGUGUGGAGGUGACACAUAUGGUGUUGAUCUUGCAGUUUGCAGCAGGGAACAAAGAGCACUGACCCUUACUAAAACAUGGCCAAUGCAGUCUUACAUUGGUGCUGCACAGCUGGAUAUACAUGGCGUUUACCACUUGGGUUUUGUUUUUUCCUCCACGCAUAAACUGCUAUGCAAUGUUUGGGUGUUUGGGACACAGCUUUCUAAUUGUGUGUCGAUUAGAACACAUAACCAAGGAGCAGUUUUGAGACCAGUCAGAGCCCAUGCUUCUCUGAGGUGGCUUUAAUGAACUGAGGGGCUCCAGCACUCUCAAAUAGCAGCUGUCUCGUGGUGCACCAGCAGCUGCCAAUGAAAUGUUAACAGCUGCAACCAGAAUCUGAAUGACAGAUUCCAGGAUGAAGCAAAUGGAACAUGAAUGCAUUGCGUGCUUGGGACUCCAGGGUCAGCUGCAAUUCCUAAGAGCUUUGCAGUUGUAAUAAAAAAGUGGCAUUUCAAGGCACCUGGGAUUACUGAUGGAACCUCUCAGCUCCAGACCCAUUAGGUUCACUCACACAGGAUCCGAGGAGUUUGCAAACUGAUCCAGCACGUGAUCCCAGGGAUGGGGAUGUGCACGCAAAGAUUCUCCGUGUGACUGCGAUGCAAAUCCAGUGAGUAACUCUGCUCCAGGAAACAGUCAGAGGGUACAGGGAUGCCACAGGGACUGCCGUGCAAGGAAAUUGCACAUCAGGGAAAUUGGAAGAGAUCUCUUAGUAAUGAGGAACGGCUGCCUUGUCUUCACUCACAUGCACAAUAAAUAAACAGAGGACGCAGGGAGAGAUUGAAGAAAAGCUGUAAACCCAUUCUCUGUUAAUGUUAAUAGCAUUCCUGACUGAUGCCUGUAGGCAACAAGGAAACACUGCUGAGGGCAUCCAGCGCUUCAGGAGCUGGACAUAUUUAGGCCAUUUAAAACAAUCUAGUUUGGCACAUCUGCUACAGAUGGUCCAGCAGAGGAGGCAUUCAUCUGGGAGACUUGAAGAGUGGCUCUGCUUUGUUAUCUCCUAAGUUGGUGAUAGAUGACCUUGGUCCAUAAUGCGGCGCCUUCUUCAACUCUCAAGCAGGGUGAAGAGUGCUUAGCAGCAUUUAUUAACUCUUCAAGACCUAAGUGUCAUCAAGAUUGUUAUUGAAUGGCGCUGUGAUAAAUUCAGCCCCUGCCUCGUUUUGCAAUUCUGCCUUUAGCAACUGGAGCCGACGAGGAAUUAGAUCCUGAAGAUGGUGAGGCUGACUCAGGGCUCUUUGUGCCGCGCUCUGUUCUGUAGUUUGGCUCAUGCCCGCAGGCGUGAAUAAAACUCCCAAAUGCUUGCAAGAUAACCAGCUGAGCCGCAAGCAGAGAUGUAUCCCACCGCAGCUCUCCAAGCACUGAUGGGCUUCCAGCAGCCAGCAUCUGCUUCUGCUCUGGGACACUGUGCACUGCUCCCUGCACUCAGCCAGGCACAGGGCUGCUCCCAGCCAUUGGUGCAGUGGCUGCUGUGGGAACGUAGCAGAAGUGUGGGCACGUCCAAAGCUGACAGUGCAUCAACAGCCUUCGGUGCUUCUGCAAGUCGUGCACUUGCCCUUUCAGAAGUGUUUAAUGAGAGCUUAGGAGAACGGAUGUGCUCGUCCUCAGGUACGGAUGAGAGUUCAUGUUUUAAUUAGCAGGUGUAGGAAAUGGGAAAUUGUGAGGUUUAGUGUUUGUCUCCAGGUAAGCAUUGGUGGUUUGCUUUGCUAUUUCAUUUCUUUUUGGAUUUCAUGUAACAAACAUGAAGCAGUUUUAGUUCACUUUCAGUUUUCAGUCCAAAGACCUGGAAAACCUGAGAAUGACAUCAUUUCUGCAAGUAGAAAGUGUAAUUCUGUAGCAAAAGGUUGUCAGAAUAUUUCCUGGCGAUGGUGUCAGAUAUUGCCAUUACAGUUUAAGCUGGAAUUGAUUGCUUAGCCAUUAUAUAUAUAUGAAGUGCCCCAUAGGUCUUUGUAGGUAAUUCUGCUUGGAUAUUACCCCACUUUGCAGGCAGCCCACGCACUGCCCAAUAACCAGGAUUUUCCCUUUCAGAGGGUCUCAAAUGUUGGGGUGGCUGCAGGUGUUGCAGAUCACAUUUGCAGGGAGUAAUGAAUGCACGACCUUGGAAACAGUCACCAGGAAAUGCCCACACCAGCCCAGGCUUCAGAGACUGAAAAAAAAACCCCAACCAAAAGCCAAAGUGGGAGAAAUAGAGAGAAAAAGUGCACUUGGUGGGGCAGUGUUGUGCAAUGGAGUCGGUGCUGUUUGCAGAGGCUCAUCCCUCAGCUGCAGCCUUUCAGCCACGCACUGCAGUUGGUGGGGUUGUGCAGAUGGGGCCAGGUGUGAGUGCUGUCACACUGCCCUGCUGAGCACCGCUCACACCUAUGGGGCACACCGGGCAGCUGCGUGCAUCCCCAGCACAGCCUCCAUUUCUAUGCAGCAGGCAGUAAAUCAGCCCCAGCUGCUCAGUGACAUAAACGUCGUCUUUCCGUUCUGCUGCGUGUCACUUAUUGCUUUGCAUAAUGUAUUUCUCCCUCAUUUCCAUAUUCUUCUCCAUUGUGGUGAUAAACUAAUAAAUCUGG
ensembl:lncRNA